GAAUAAUUCCCUACAAGUCGAUUUGAACGAGCUUAAAAGGAAUUUUCGUCAUUAGGCCACUUCCAAAUUUUGAUUGCGCUGUGUACGACCAUGGAAAUAAAAAAAAUGUUGGGUUAAUAGCAAUACAACCCACGCCAGUUCCUCGGAGUUUUUAAAAAGGUUAACUUCCGACAGUUGGAAAAAAUUGUUGACCAAAACAGCACUCAUUUGAAUAUAACCUUGAUGAUCGUUUCCAGAUGUUCCGUGUCGGCUUUCUACAACUAGAUUCUCAAUCUUCUAAUGGAAACGGGCAAUUUCUUUCAUUCAGUUUGAAUGGAUCUAGAAUGUUCAAGUGGACUGUCUUGCAUUUCUAUUCCUCGGAGCCUCUUAUGAAUUUCCUGAACGUUUUGGAAUGAAUCGUGUACUGAAAUUCUACGCUGCAUUAUCACUUAUUGCCUAAAUUGUAUGGUAUAGUGCAUUGCUUAUUUAAAGUAUGAUUUUGUCUUAAUGUAUCAUGAACUAGAUCCAAUUAUUAAUAAUUAGACUUCGAGAGCACUCGAAACUUCAUGUGCGGCAAAGAUGCAAUCUUUUAAAUUUAAGAUUAAUUUCUGUAUAGGGAACUUUAUUAAAUUUCUCAUGGAAAAUGUAGUUAAAUUCUUUAAUUUUAACUUGCUUUUUGCUUUCUGUAAGAAAAUGAAACGGACGAAAUUAUUAAAAAUAAAGGCUUCACGUAAAUUUAAUUCCGAUGUAUUCGUAUCAAAGAUGUUCGAUUCCUGGUCCUAUUAAAAGUCGUGAGUUAAUUAACAGAUCUAAGAGAAAGCGCCGCCUUAUGAAUAAUUCUAAGAAUAGCUCCUUUGUUAUUAAUCGACUUUCCUCUAGAGGAAAUGGAUUCUAAAAGAUUUUGCUUGCUACAUGUCCUUUUCAAAAGUCGAUACUUCUUGCAAUCAUCCAUGUUCGGCGGUAAUUUCUUGAAUUUGUAAUUAACGAAAAUCGUGCAUAAAUUUGAACCCUAUAACAAUUCACUUUUACCUCGAUAAUAAGCUAAUUUCGGUUAAAAUAACUUCACAAUACAAUUGUAGAAUUCAAAAUUUAAAAGUUAGUUUCAAGACGUCCUAAUUAAUAGUUCAAUAUUUCCCUCGUACCAUCGCAUGGAAAAAUAUUUUUACUACAUUGGUACAGAAAGGUUAAAUUCUCCAAUCAAAGAAAUGGGUUAUAGAAACAAUCGUCUGUUUUAUCUUGAGAUACUAGCAUCCUAAUUAGUCAUGAGAAUCCGAAUCAUUAACUUUGAAUUUCUUGACAAUAGUUAAAAUGACAGAUGUAGGCUUUUCUAAGAAUUCUUAUGACUGUUAACUUCGCUGUAUGUAAAAUGUAAUCCUAGGUUCAGAGUAGAGCAUUCUAGUUGCAUUUUGUUAGGACUUUGAGGGAUAGUUGCAAAUGCCAAUGUUGAAAGUAGAAAUUGCCUGGUUCUAACGGGAAUGACUGGGAAGAUCGGAAUGGGCUUCGAGAAGAGGUAGAACGGAGGGGGAGGGGUUAACAAGUUAAGUAAUACUGGUCCCUGCUGUCUUUCUGCUGAGGUUGAUUGGGACCGGCAGCCAAAGUAGAAAACAGCGGUCCCCAGGGAACAGGUACUUAACGCGUUAACUAUGUAGGAUCAUUGCUAGGAAAAUAAACGGAAAUGUCGAUUAGGAGAAAUGAAAUAGAAACUGCCAUAGUUAGUCAAUGUAUCAAAUCGAUAAGCAUAUUUGGACGGGGGGAGGGAAAUCGAAUCGAAAUACAUUGAAUGCAAUUUGUACUAGAAACAUUGGUAGCAACUAUCUUAAAAAUUCAAAUAUUAAAACUAGUUGCCAAACUUUUCACGCGCACACUAAACCUCCUCAAACUUGUUUUCACAUUAAAAUUUAAAGUGUAUUCCCUUUAGCUACCGUUAUCAUGGUUGAGAUAAAAUUACUUGCCAAUACUUAACUCUAUUGAGAAUGCAAUAAGCACCUUGGCAUAAAAUGAGUUGACUCGUGCACUGAAUUUUCAAUU